AAAGUUGAGCAGCAAAGGUUCUCAAACUACUAACCUCAUCCAAGAGCCAGUAACACUAGAGAGAGAUUCACGUCCUCUGCUAUUUAAGUUUAACGAGGGUUUUACAAAUGCAGUUAAAAGGCCGGUUCAGAUUCGUGAAUUUUUGCUAUAACUGGGAUCAGAAUUAUUGUAAGCACUAAAAUGGUGCCUUUUCUUUUCUUUUGUUUGUCACAUAUAAGAUGUAGAUCUGUGCUCUUUUGCUUAACCCCCAAUUCCAAAGACAUAUAAGUUAUCUCAUGGGACGCUGCUUGACAACAAUCUAUGCGUUUGUUUUUUUUUUUUUUUUUUGGUUUUAAAAGAGAGGACAACAAUGAUACCCUUUUUAAUCCCUUUUGAGUAGUUGAAUUUUCUGGAUCUUUUCAUUCUUUACCAUACAAGAGUACAACAUUUUUCCUUUUUUUCUGGUGUGUCAGGAAGACAAGAUGCGGCAGGAACACUACGUAAACUGAGUUCUACAUUUGGCUUAUAUUAUAUUGAAUCUGCAUCAGUGUGUGUCUU